rnacentral:rRNA from 1 species
GACGAACGCUGGCGGCGUGCCUAAUACAUGCAAGUAGGACGCAGUUGCGAACGGGUGAGUAACGCGUAGGUAACUGCCUCUUAGAGGGGGGUAACUAUUGGAAACGAUAGCUAAUACCGCAUACUAGUAGAUGGACCUGCGUUGUAUUAGGUAGUAGGUAGGGUAAUGGCCUACCUAGGCAACGAUAAAUAGACGAACUGGGAGGGUGAUCGGCCAAACUGGGACUGGGGAAAGGCCCAGACUCCUAAGGGAGGCAACAGUAGGGAAUCUUCGGCAAUGGGGGGAACCAUGACCGAGCAAAGCCGCGGGAGUGAAGAAGGUUUUCGGGUCGUAAAGCUCUGUUGUUAAGGAAGCGGUACUUAACCAGAAAGGGACGGCUAACUACGUGCCAGCAGCCGCGGUAAUAC